rnacentral:piRNA from 1 species
UUCAUGUUUCCUAUUCGCACAAAAUCUGCC